rnacentral:tRNA from 1 species
AAAGAUGAAGGCUACCACUUCUUAGAGUU